rnacentral:rRNA from 1 species
UACGGAGGGUGCAAGCGUUGUCCGGAUUUAUUGGGUUUAAAGGGUGCGUAGGCGGUUUAUUAAGUCAGUGGUGAAAGACGGUCGCUCAACGAUUGCAGUGCCAUUGAUACUGGUAGACUUGAGUGGGAUUGAGGUAGCUGGAAUGGAUAGUGUAGCGGUGAAAUGCAUAGAUAUUAUCCAGAACACCAAUUGCGUAGGCAAGUUACUAAGUCUCAACUGACGCUGAGGCACGAAAGUGUGGGUAUCAAACAGG